rnacentral:rRNA from 1 species
CGUGGGUAACCUGCCCAAGAGAUCGGGAUAACACCUAGGAAACAGAUGCUAAUACCGGAUAACAACAGAUAUGCCUAUCAACUGUUUAAAAGAUGGUUCUGCUAUCACUCUUGGAUGGACCUGCGGUGCAUUAGCUAGUUGGUAGGGUAACGGCCUACCAAGGCGAUGAUGCAUAGCCGAGUUGAGAGACUGAUCGGCCACAUUGGGACUGAGACACGGCCCAAACUCCUACGGGAGGAGCAGCU